ACACAUGCACCCCUUCUUGGUUAAGUUUUGGCAGUUGGAGAAAUUGGUCUGUUUCUUCUUGGUUGUUAAAGUUAUGAACAUAAAGUUGUUCUUAGUAUUCCCUUAUUAAGUUUUGAGAGCUUUCUUUAACCAUCCUUUAAGGGUGAGACUGUUGGUAACAGAUUCUUUCAAAGUUUUUUCAUCUAAGAAUGUCUUAUGUUUCUGAAGAUAUUUGAUAGAGGGAAUGGAAGGUGGAUUUGAUCAAUCACUUGGGGCUUGGCAGAUCAUAUAUGUAUUUAUUUUAAAUAUACUGUACAUGAAGCUUCUCUGACCAGAAAGACAUAUGCCGUCAUUGAAGGUAUUAUGUGAGAACAUGAGCUCUUAAGUUGAAAUGGAAAAUACAACAUUUGAGCUUGCUUACUUUCAACAAUCGAGAAAAGAAUAGAGACUAAUAUUGAUAUUUCAAACGUUACGGAAGUGUGUGAAAUUAAAAAAAUAAACUUCUACUCACAGUUCCCAUGUUGCUAAUCUACUGUCAUAUAACCCUCUGUGGAUCUUU
rnacentral:lncRNA from 10 species